rnacentral:rRNA from 1 species
UACAGAGGUCCCGAGCGUUGUUCGGAUUCACUGGGCGUAAAGGGUGCGUAGGUGGCCUGAAAAGUUUGAUGUGAAAGCUCAGGGCUUAACCCUGAAAUGGCAUUGAAUACUGUCGGGCUGGAGGUUUGGAGGGGGGACUGGAAUUCUUGGUGUAGCAGUGAAAUGCGUAGAUAUCAAGAGGAACACCAGUGGCGAAGGCGAGUCCCUGGACAACACCUGACACUGAGGCACGAAAGCUAGGGGGAGCAAACAGG